UACGAAGGGGGCUAGCGUUGUUCGGAAUUACUGGGCGUAAAGCGCACGUAGGCGGGUUGUUAAGUCAGGGGUGAAAUCCUGGAGCUCAACUCCAGAACUGCCUUUGAUACUGGCAACCUAGAGACUGGAAGAGGUUAGUGGAAUUCCCAGUGUAGAGGUGAAAUUCGUAGAUAUUGGGAAGAACACCAGUGGCGAAGGCGGCUAACUGGUCCAGCACUGACGCUGAGGUGCGAAAGCGUGGGGAGCAAACAGG
rnacentral:rRNA from 3 species